UUGAGCUGUAUGUCUUGAAAGGGACACGUACAGUUCAUAGGCGAGAAAGAGGGAGCAAUCCCUCCGACUUAGCCGAC
rnacentral:ncRNA from 1 species